AUGGAGCGGGGUUCCGGUUCUUGUUUUCAAGGUGUACUGUGUCAUUGGCUUGUAUUGGUAUUGAUAUGGCUCUGUGGCUGUCAGCAUGUUCUGUCUCAGCAAACAACACUUGAACCAAAAGAUAAAUUUCUUCUGUCUGACCCACCUAUUGGUCUCUUUGAUCCGAUAGAGAUCUCACCAUCUGUUCUCCCACACAAUACCAACCCUGUUGAGCCACUGUCACCAAUGUAUCCGAACUACACAUCCUAUGAUCCGGUUUUGACUGGAAAAUGUCAUGUAAACUUUUCCAAGCUCUCUUUUAUGAUGGACAAGACAGCGUCUGAUUGUUCUGUACCUUUAGCACCACUAGUUGCCGAUGUUAUAUGUUGUCCCCAAGUUAGUAGCUUAAUGAAUAUAUUCCAAGCUGCAUAUGGUGGUGGAAACAAUACGCUUGUUCUCAAUCAAGCUUCAGCAAAUGCUUGUUUCUCUGACAUCAUGAGCAUACUUGCAAGUAAAGGGGCAAACACCAACAUCCCUGAGUUGUGUACUCUGAGGCCAUCAAAUCUUACUGAUGCUUCUUGUCCCAUGAAGGAUAUUAGCUCGUUUGAGAGAAUGGUUAAUGUAAGCAAACUCCUGGAUGCAUGCAGCAGUGUUGACCCACUGAAAGAGUGUUGUAGGCCAGUUUGCCAACCUGCAAUAGUGGAGGCAGCGGUUCAUAUAUCCUCAGGAGGGGCAAGCAUGUUCGGAAGUUCUAGCAUACCUGGGAGUGCGGCUGGGAUUAAUGCUGUUAGUGACUGUAAAGGGGUGGUUCACUCCUACUUGUCUAUGAAACUUUCAUCAGAAGUGGCGAACACUGCUUUCAGAGUAUUAUCUGGCUGCAAGGUGAACAAAGUCUGUCCGCUGGAGUUUGAUGAUCCUUCUUCAGUCGUUAAGGCAUGUGGCAAGGCAUCUACAAGGCCUUCAUGCUGCGCAGCGUUGCAAUCUUACAUCGCAGCUAGACAGAAACAAAUAUUUGUCACAAACUUGCAAGCAAUUAACUGUGCAACAAUGUUCGGAUCAAUGCUACAGAAAGCUGGUGUGGGGAAUGAUAUUUACGGGCUGUGUGAUAUUGACCUGAAAGAUUUUAGCCUGCAAGCUUUUGGGCAGCAAGGUUGUCUACUUCGGAGCUUACCUACGGACAUUGUAUUUGACAACGUUACGGGCAUUAGCUUUACGUGUGAUUUGAGUGAUAAUAUUGCAGCACCAUGGCCGUCGUCAUCGUCUCUCCAGUCUUUGUCGCUAUGUGCUCCAGAAAUGUCAUUGCCUGCAUUACCGGUCGCGCCAUUAUCAGGAAGCUCAGCAGGUAUCUCCAGAACUGGAAUUGGGAUUCUGCUGCCUGUUGUGCUCCUCACCACGACCAUCUCCAUCUGA
rnacentral:rRNA from 1 species